GAUGAACGCUAGCGGGAGGCCUAACACAUGCAAGCCGAGCGGUAUUGUUUCUUCGGAAAUGAGAGAGCGGCGUACGGGUGCGGAACACGUGUGCAACCUGCCUUUAUCUGGGGGAUAGCCUUUCGAAAGGAAGAUUAAUACUCCAUAAUAUAUUGAUUGGCAUCAAUUAAUAUUGAAAGCUCCGGCGGAUAGAGAUGGGCACGCGCAAGAUUAGCUAGUUGGUGAGGUAACGGCUCACCAAGGCAAUGAUCUUUAGGGGGCCUGAGAGGGUGAUCCCCCACACUGGUACUGAGACACGGACCAGACUCCUACGGGAGGCAGCAGUGAGGAAUAUUGGUCAAUGGGUGCAAGCCUGAACCAGCCAUCCCGCGUGAAGGACGACUGCCCUAUGGGUUGUAAACUUCUUUUGUAUAGGGAUAAACCUUUCCACGUGUGGAAAGCUGAAGGUACUAUACGAAUAAGCACCGGCUAACUCCGUGCCAGCAGCCGCGGU
rnacentral:rRNA from 1 species